UACGAAGGGUGCAAGCGUUACUCGGAAUUACUGGGCGUAAAGCGUGCGUAGGUGGUUCGUUAAGUCUGAUGUGAAAUCCCCGGGCUUAACCUGGGAACUGCAUUCGAGACUGAAUAGCUAGGGUACGGUAGAGGGAAGUGGAAUUUCCGGUGUAGCGGUGAAAUGCGUAGAUAUCGGAAGGAACAUCAGUGGCGAAAGCGACUUCCUGGACCAGUACCGACGUUCAGGCACGAAAGCGUGGGGGAGCAAACAGG
rnacentral:rRNA from 1 species